GACGUAGGGGGCCAGCGUUGUUCGGAAUUACUGGGUGUAAAGGGUUCGUAGGCGGUGUGGCAAGUUGGGAGUGAAAUCUCUGGGCUUAACCCAGAGGCUGCUUCCAAAACUGCUGUGCUUGAGUGUGAGAGAGGCUCGUGGAAUUGCAGGUGUAGCGGUGAAAUGCGUAGAUAUCUGCAGGAACACCCGUGGCGAAAGCGGCGAGCUGGAUCACAACUGACGCUGAGGAACGAAAGCUAGGGGAGCAAAC
rnacentral:rRNA from 1 species